AGAGAGCUAGGGUGAAGGAGAAUCAUGAUCGACAAAAGAUACACAUCCUUCUUUGAGGACCCAUGGUGGUACGUUGCGGCGGCGUAACUUGGCACAUGGAAUGCGCACCCAAAUGCAUAAAUACGAAAGUCGUCAGGUUCGUACCCAAUAACCAACUGUAACGUCAUAUAGGUUGGGUGGCAAUGGGCCUCAAGGCGGACCAACAUAGCUGCGUGCAAGAUUGCAUAGCCUUAGGCAAAGACCGAAAACUUGGUACGUUUACCAAAAUUCAGGCGAUCAUUUAAAUUGCGCUUUAUGAUCGCUAGGCUAGGCUAUUUGGGG
rnacentral:lncRNA from 1 species